AUUGAACGCUGGCGGCAGGCCUAACACAUGCAAGUCGAGCGAGCGGCGGACGGGUGAGUAAUGUCUGGGAAACUGACUGAUGGAGGGGGAUAACUACUGGAAACGGUAGCUAAUACCGCGUACCAUCCGAUGUGCCCCGGUGUGAUUAGCUAGUAGGUGGGGUAACGGCUCACCUAGGGGACGAUCCCUAGCUGGUCUGAGAGGAUGACCAGACACACUGGAACGGAGACACGGUCCAGACUCCUACGGGAGGCAGCAGUGGGGAAUAUUGCACAAUUGGCGCAAGCCUGAUGCAGCCAUGCCGCGUGUGUGAAGAAGGCUUUCGGGUUGUAAAGCACUUUCAGCGGGGAGGCGUUACCCGCAGAAGAAGCACCGGCUAACUCCGUGCCAGCAGCCGCGGUAAUAC
rnacentral:rRNA from 1 species